GUGGCUCCACUCCGGGAGGUACCACCCUGGGGGGGGGAGGGCGGAUAUACAUGGUAAGGGAGUCUGGACAUCUCCUUUUAAAUUCCCAAUUCUACAUAAAGCCAAGGAAAUCCAUUUCAGUAUUCUACACAGGAUUUACCCAACCAAUCUAAAGAGAAGCCUGUACCUUCUGAAUAUUUCCACUGUGUGCAGUUGUUACAGCAGUUCUGAGGACUCUAUUGUUUUAUCAAUGUGAGGUAACUUGUUGCUUUUCGAAAGACCUUUCAAGUUAUCUGUCCGACAAGCUUUCCACUAAACUAAACAUUCAUAUUCAUGGUGUGAUCUUCCACUUCUUCUUUACAAACAUUUGAUUAAUGAUUAACUUUCUUAUAUUACAGGCUAAGCAUCAUAUCCACAAAUGUAAACAUAUAAAAACAAAACCUAAUACUGUGUCUUUUAUUAAAGAAGUGGAAUAUCAUGCUUUAUAUACCUGUAAAAACAAGAACAUCUGUAAAACUGUUGAACUGUAUUACUGUUUUGUAAUAUCCUGGUGCCCGAAGUGGUUUAUAUCGCUUAUAACACAGCUACCUGUCACUUGUGGGAAGAAAAAUAAUUAAAACACAAUUAAAUUAAGACAAAACCAGAAACUUUUAUUGUGUAUACAUCCCCAGUGUAAUAUAACCCCAAAUUUAAUUGAAUUUAAUUGAUUCGCUUAUUAAAAAUAAAUUGCACAUGUUCGUUUAUUGUGAAUUUCUGCAUCGAAAGUGCCAUCUCAGGACUGACCACAAGCUGUAAUGAUGGGCGGAGUUUCAAAUGACACUAAGGAAGUAAGUAGAGCAGCUGCGAUGGAGACUGAAGCCGGAUCUUGAAAUGGACUGCUGUCUUCACUCAGAAAGUUGGUGUUGUACCAGUUAUGUGGAGUUUCAUCCCCAAAUAUAUUAAAGGAAAUAGGUCAAAUGCCACUCAUUUUUGGCUGUGGUUUUGUAACUAAUAACAAAUAAAAUGGCAGUUUGUCAUGGAAUUUCGAAUGUAGUGGUGCGUAGUAAUUUAUUCAGUGUGAAGCGGCUCAUUAUUAUGCAAGCCGUGCUAUACGCUAUAUAUACGCACAGUCAUGUGAUGCUGUUUAACCAAUCAGAGGUUGUUAUUUUUCCAAUAGUAGCCUGUCCCUCUCUAAACAACCCGUGUUAACCACUUUACAUUCAUUCAUUAACUCUCUGAUUUUACUUUUAAACAUGUUACAUUAUUUCCACACUUUGUUUACCAUCCAAUUGGUUUAUGUUGUCUUUUCACACUUUAUUACUUGUUUGUAUUAUUUUAAACAUCUCCUCAAAAUUCCUAUAAUCCUUUACCCAGAGGAGUGUGCAUUCUUUACAUCCACGUGGACAGGGCCUAAAGACGACUGCCUCAGCGACUGCUGCAUUUUAAACUUGCGCUCUUUGACAACAUAAUUCUGACUGCUUUCGUCCCUUUAAGAUUUCUCCAAUAAUGUAACUUUGUCCUUAAGUGAAAUUGACGAUCGUUUAGCGCUCGCCAUGAUAAUACUGCAUACAUUACAGUAACAGAGAGCAAAGUCAAGUUCAAACAGCAAGAAGUAGGCCUUAUGCACAGCACAGACCACUGCGUGCCAUCGCGGUGAGUGCGUAAUAACAGAAAGUAUGCACUAUCAGAGUACGUACUAAAAGGAGAAUUUAAACAGGAUUUAAUACAAUUUUAUUCGGUUCCACGAUACUGGUUCUUUACAUCAGUGUGUACAAUAUACUAUAUAUACAGUUAAACCCAUCUUCAGCCUUUUUCAAUCCACUGCUGGAUGAAGGCUUCCCCAAGAUUCUUCAACAAAAGCCUGUCUGCUGCGUCUCUCAUCCAUGUUGCUCCGGUGUGUUUCCUAAUUUCAUCUUGUCAUCUUCCUGGAGGUCGUCUUCUUGGUCGCUUUAUAUCUCUUGGGAUCCAGUCUAGUAUCUCAUUGGUCCAAUGAUGGUCUGUUCUUGCUACAUGUCUGGCCCACUACCAUUUCAGUUUAGUCGCUCUUAUAAUAACAUUGCAAACUUUUGUUUGCGCACUUAUCCAUUCCUUCCUUUUCUUGUCUCUUCUUGUUAUUUCCAGCAUGCAUCUGUCCAUACGCCGUUGGGUCGUUUGUAAUUUGAGUCAUUUUUGCAUGAGGGUCCAGGUUUCGCAUCCGUAGGUUAGCACUGGCAGCGCAAAUACUUUUCUCUUGAGGCAUAAGGGUAGUUUCCCUUUCAGAACCAUGCUUAAUCUUCCAAAGGCACUCCAGCCUAUUUUUGCUCUUCUAUUGAUUUCACACAUUUGGUUCUCUGUUGCCGAAACUGUCCUAAGUAUAUGUAGUUAUUGACUUCUUCAAGCUUGAUCCCAUUGACUUCAAUUGCCUGUGGAGUGGUAUAUUUAUUGAACAUGACUUGAGUCUUCUUCAGGUUCAUUUUUAAACCCGCUUUGAUGCUAGCCUUGUGUAGUUCUUGUAUUCUUGUUUGUAAUUCUUCUGGGCACGUUGUAAAUAUGAGGAUGUCGUCAGAAAAUCGUAGGUGAUUCAAGUAGGCUCCAUUGAUCUUCAGCCCUUUAUUUUCCCAAUCCAGUGUUUUGAAAAUGUCUUCUAGGGUUGCCGUGAAGAGCUUUGGGUAAAUUGUAUCUCCUUGACAAACUCGUUUUUCAAUCUUGAUUUUGUCGCUGAUUGUCUUGUUUGAAUAUACAGUAUAUAUACAGUAUUGUAACAGGGGGAGACCUGUACUGACUCUUCUGAUGUGUCCGAAGUGCUGCAGGAAGAGGGCAGCAGCCCGUCAAUAUUCGCCUGUCAGUCAUGGCAGUGACACGGAGAGGUGGGAGAGUGGGUGUGCGGGCUUUCCUUCUCUCUGAAUGGCUGAGAGGCGGGUCAUGGGGGGAAUUGCUGGCCCUAUAAAAUUAACAUUCUGCUGUUCCCUCAGGUCUGCCCCUUUGAGAGAGAACAGACAUACGGACGCACUGGUCCCGAUCCAGAACACGGCCAGGGAGGAAAACCCCCAAAGAAAUAAGAGAACAGAAAGAAAACAGGGUUAGCGGGGAAAACCGUGGGCAGACCCCAUCAGUAUUUGUUUAGCAGUCUGAGGGAGCGGCGAGGGUAGGACGGAGACCUGGACCGUGCGGGAAGCGACGGUCGGGGUGAAGCUGCCGAGUGCAGCACCUUUUAUUUGUAGUUUUUUGAUUACUGUGUUUUAUUUUCCUUGUUCUUUUCUCCUUUUGCUUAUUUUUGGUUUGAUCACCUGCGAGUGCGCCUAUACUGUAUAACGGUACCGCCUCUGGUAUCUCUGUGGCUCUGUUUUAUCAUCGCUGACAGGCAGACCACAGACAACAGCGCCCUCUGCGGGCCAAAACGUGGAACUGCCCCACUAAUAAUAAAACUGGGCACCUGUGCGGUGUUGUCAAGAUCA